UUUACUAUUAUUAUUGUUUUUUGUUUUGUUUUUGUUUCUUUUCUUCCUCUGACUGUAAAGGUUUCCGUUCGAUGCGGUAAAGUCAAUGUCGUGAGGAGAACCCGGAACCAACAUUAUGGCCUCCGUUGGCCCGGACGGAUUUUGUUGUCGUACACAAACCAAAUCGGGCUGAAUUCAGCUACACGUUUGGACGCGGAACUUACAAUUUUUGGCAAAAAAGACUCAUAAAAGCAUGGCUGUUUCUCUCACUUGACGCUGGAAUUGAUGUUGGGGAUCGAGGAGGUUUUGAGCGGACACGCAGCCGACAGACGCAAAGUUGUGGGACACGUGGACGGCACUGCGCUACGAUGACGAGGACAACCUGCUUUUGGACAGGAAGCUGAAGAUGUUCCUCAGCCUGUGGAAGAACAACAACACGUUUUGGGCAGAGAAAAGUCACGAUUGUGGAGAGCAUUGUGAGCGUACCAAAGUUGGCUCCUCAAAUUCAUCCCCCACUUUUGGUUGUCAUCACCUGGAUGUUGUCCUUCAGCUGAGGAAGAGGAGUGCACCAGGAUGAGGAAGGCCUGGACCGGAAGCCAGC